UACGGGGGGGGCAAGCGUUGUUCGGAAUUACUGGGCGUAAAGGGCUCGUAGGUGGCCAACUAAGUCAUACGUGAAAUCCCUCAGCUUAACUGGGGAACUGCGCGGGAAACUGACGGGCUUGAGUUCGGGAGAGGGAAGCGGAAUUCCGGGUGUAGCGGUGAAAUGCGUAGAUAUCCGGAGGAACACCAGUGGCGAAGGCGGCUUCCUGGACCGACACUGACGCUGAGGCGCGAAAGCUAGGGGAGCAAACGGG
rnacentral:rRNA from 1 species